rnacentral:lncRNA from 12 species
GGUCCACAGGGAGAAAUGGGACCACCAGGGCCUCAGGGACCAAUGGGAAUGGGACCAAUCGGACCCCCGGGUAGGGAUGGAACACAAGGAUUUCCUGGAAUACCAGGGCAGGAUGGGAGUCCUGUAAGUUUGUUUGUUUGAUUGUUUGAUUGUUUGUUUAAUUCUCUCCAGCAAUCCUUUGAUUAACUCCUCUAGCUUAUUCCCAUAUUGUGACACGCUCUGUGGUUAUCAAAUUCACCCAAGCAUAUUGUCCAUUGUUCAUUGCUUUGCCAUCUAGAGAAAGCAUCAAACGAACUUCCAUAAACUGCGGAGACAAAAGAAGCGAAAUUUAGUCAUCUUGCCAGAGCGUGUCUCAUUAAAAAAGCAAAGUUAGCGUUGUCUGUUCUCGCAUCAGAUGUUAAUUACCUGGGGCUUUGUCGCAGAGAGCAUAAGGAGCGAAUCCAGAGACAGACUCGGGUCAUAUUCGACUCUGCCUGGAUCCCUAACAGCAACACAUUGUCUGCUUGCAUCACAUCACCUGCCACUGCUCCUCCCCUAUCCUCCCCACUCAUCUCACUGGCCCUGGAGAGUUACACACAAUAGCACUGUCUAACUGAGCCUUUCUGUGUGUGUGUUUCUCCUUGUCUUUCAGGGAGCCACUGGGCCUAAGGGUGACAAGGGUGAACCAGGAGAGUGCAACUGUUUGAAUUACAUGUUCCCUGGAACCGGUGGACCUGGGGUCCCAGGUGGUGAUAGCAGGUUGCAGCCUGGUCCUCAGGGGCCUCCUGGACCACCAGGCCCUCCAGGUCCCCCAGGGGCCCAAGGGUUUACAGGAAUCCAAGGCCCACAGCCUCCUGUUUUGCUGCCUCAGGAUUCAGCUUCCACGGGCAAGGAGGGCUGUGGCGAAUGCUCCAAGGGCCUACCAGGUGUGCCCGGCGUGGUUGGUGCUAAGGGCGAGAAGGGAGAUCAGGGCAAGCCUGGCGUUGAACACUUAGAUAGAUGCGAACGGUGUUUAGAGAAGCUGCAGAGAGAAGAAACACCAAGUAGGCCUACGAGUAACAGUGGUCAGUGUGUUGGUGCACCAGGGAUGCCCGGAUUCCCAGGGACCGCAGGGGUAAAAGGAGAGCCGGUGAGAGAUCUUGCCUAGUUUCAUUACUAUCAGUGCCUAUUAGAGAGUGUACAAGAGCUCUGCUUUAUCCUAACUGUUGUGAAUCUAACAACACAAUAUUUUAAUAUUAAAAGCAAACAUAUAUAUAUAAAUAUAUAUAGCACACUCCAAUUCUAUUAUUCUGUCCCCAAUUCUCUCCCAGAAUUGUGUUAUCUGAGGCUUAGGAAUAAGCCUCUGAAAAGGUGGGGGACACAUUUAUAAGCCUUAUCAUCUUGGCUCAUGAAUAUUAAUUAGGUGUUGUAAUGUUUGCCCAGUUGUCCUAACUGAUUUGCUGAAAGACAAGUAGGUGGGCACUAGGCAUACUAGGAUUACUU